GGCAACCCGCCCCCGUCCCUUUCAACACUGUGGAAGCUUUGUUUUUUCACUCUUUGCAAUAUAUCUUGCUGCUGCUCACUCUUUGGGUCUACACUGCUUUUAUGAGCUAUAACACUCACUGUGAAGGUCUGCAGCUUCACUCCUGAGCCAGCGAGACCAUGAUCCCAGCAGAAGGAAGAAACUCCGAACACAUCCGAACAUCAGAAGGAACAAACUCCACACGUGCCACCUUAAGAGCUGCAACACUCACUGCGAGGGUCUGCAGCUUCAUUCUUGAAGUCAGUGAGACCAAGAACCCACCAAUUCUGGACACACUGGGAUUACAGGUGCAUGCCGCCACGUCCAGCUAAUUUUUGUAUUUUUAGUAGAGACAGGGUUUCAACACGUUGGCCAGGCUGGUUUUGAACUCCUGACCUCAGGUGAUCCACCCGCCUUGGCCUCCCAAAGUGUUGGGAUUACAGAUAUCAGACACUGCCUGGCCGGUUAUGUCUUUCUUGAUUCUAAUCAGUAUGUACAUAAUUUUGCAUAGAUAUAUUGAUUAGGGAGGCAUUUAUGAAGGGCAGGUAGUGGAGAGGCUGGGGUAAGGUUAGGUAAUAGGAGUUCUAGGGGAUUCCAUACUUUGGCCUAUAAUGGAAUUGUAGCCUACCCAGCACUUUAAACAUUCCCGAUUGACUCCAAUAUUUGUUCUUCUAGCCACUCCUUCCCCUCUCAGCCAAUGUACUUAGGGAGAAGCUGAUCCCAUGCUAAGUUCCAGGAAUGGGCUUUAUUUUCCAGGAAUGAAUCCAUACCCUUUCCAGUAAAGGGCUCUGGAAUCCAGGUCUAAGUGCCAUGUGAUUGGUUUAGGAAUGGACCAAUGAGACACUGUGAGGAAGUUUCCUGAGGGCUUCUGGGAAUUUUCUCAUAAUAGAAAGCUACCAGAAUUCACAGGCCCUUUUCAUCUUGACUUCUUGUCCAUAGACCUGAGGCCAGGGGCUGUGGCAGGCAUUUUGUAGGCAGCCUAAGGGUGAAACAUGCACAAGAGAGAACAAGACAACACCACAGAGAAGCAGAGCUCAGUAAUGGCUGAGCCCUGCCUCACCUCCACCAUUCCUAGACCUUCUCAGUCUCUUAGCCAAUGAACAGCCUUGAUUUUAAAGCAAUUUUUAUUUGAGUUUUUGCUUCUGGAAGCCAAAACAAACAUUUUAGCCUAUGGAAUCCCAAUUUAUACUUAACGUUUUUAUUUGUUAAUCUUUAAGUUUCAGAAUUCUUUUCUGAUUAUAAAAAUAAUACAUACUUAUUGUAGAGAACCAAGAAAACAUUGAAAGAUAUAAAGAAGAACAUUAAGACCAUCCAUAAUCUCACUAUCCCUAGAUAACUGCUAUUGAGUUUUGAGUUAGUUUCCUCUUUAUGUAUCCAAACUUACACAGAAAUUUUACACAUAUAUUUAUCCUGCUUUAAUGAAAUUCACAGCCUAGUGGGAAAUAGAAACAGACAAACAAAAACCGAACAAAUAGAUGAAUAUCUGCGACUAUGGAACGUCAUAGUAACUACUAACCUUGUGUUCACUGUUUUUGGGUAAAUGUUGCUAAUAAUGUUAUACCCCAUCUCCACAACCCAGAACAAAUCAAAGAUUUAUGUUAAUAACUAUUAAAAUAUAAUAUGCUCUAAAGUA